rnacentral:rRNA from 1 species
CCUACGGGUGGCAGCAGUGGGGAAUAUUGGACAAUGGGGGCAACCCUGAUCCAGCCAUGCCGCGUGUGUGAAGAAGGCCCUCGGGUUGUAAAGCACUUUCAGUGAGGAAGAACGCCUGGUGGUUAAUACCCAUCAGGAAAGACAUCACUCACAGAAGAAGCACCGGCUAACUCUGUGCCAGCAGCCGCGGUAAUACGGAGGGUGCGAGCGUUAAUCGGAAUUACUGGGCGUAAAGCGCGCGUAGGUGGUUUGAUAAGCCGGUUGUGAAAGCCCCGGGCUCAACCUGGGAACGGCAUCCGGAACUGUCAAGCUAGAGUGCAGGAGAGGAAGGUAGAAUUCCCGGUGUAGCGGUGAAAUGCGUAGAGAUCGGGAGGAAUACCAGUGGCGAAGGCGGCCUUCUGGACUGACACUGACACUGAGGUGCGAAAGCGUGGGUAGCAAACAGGAUUAGAUACCCCAGUAGUC